UAGGGAAUCUUCGGCAAUGGACGAAAGUCUGACCGAGCAACGCCGCGUGAGUGAAGAAGGUUUUCGGAUCGUAAAACUCUGUUGUUAGAGAAGAACAAGGACGUUAGUAACUGAACGUCCCCUGACGGUAUCUAACCAGAAAGCCACGGCUAACUACGUGCCAGCAGCCGCGGUAAUACGUAGGUGGCAAGCGUUGUCCGGAUUUAUUGGGCGUAAAGCGAGCGCAGACGGUUUCUUAAGUCUGAUGUGAAAGCCCCCGGCUCAACCGGGGAGGGUCAUUGGAAACUGGGGGACUUGAGUGCAGAAGAGGAGAGUGGAAUUCCAUGUGUAGCGGUGAAAUGCGUAGAUAUAUGGAGGAACACCAGUGGCGAAGGCGGCUCUCUGGUCUGUAACUGACGCUGAGGCUCGAAAGCGUGGGGAGCAAACAGG
rnacentral:rRNA from 1 species